rnacentral:rRNA from 1 species
CUAUCACUCCUACGGGAGGCAGCAGUGGGGAAUAUUGCACAAUGGGGGAAACCCUGAUGCAGCCAUGCCGCGUGUGUGAAGAAGGCCUUCGGGUUGUAAAGCACUUUCAGUAGGGAGGAAGGUAGUGUAGUUAACACCUGCAUUAUUUGACGUUACCUACAGAAGAAGCACCGGCUAACUCCGUGCCAGCAGCCGCGGUAAUACGGAGGGUGCGAGCGUUAAUCGGAAUUACUGGGCGUAAAGCGCAUGCAGGCGGCCUGUUAAGUCAGAUGUGAAAGCCCGGGGCUUAACCUCGGAAUUGCAUUUGAAACUGGCAGGCUAGAGUCUUGUAGAGGGGGUAGAAUUUCAGGUGUAGCGGUGAAAAUGCGUAGAGAUCUGAAGGAAUACCAGUGGCGAAGGCGGCCCCCUGGACAAAGACUGACGCUCAGAUGCGAAAGCGUGGGGAGCAAACAGGAUUAGAUACCCUGGUAG